GACACAUUAAAAAUACAACCAUCCAAACAUGCUCUAAUAAGGAAAUUUGUUUUUCACCGCGUGUCAAAGUUGACAAGUAUUUUUGAUGUACAAAUUAUAAGGAGAAAGGGCAAAACACAGAGUCUCAAGAAAUAGCUUCAGAUUUAGGCUAAAAUGGCAACCCAGAAAGGGAAGAAGACGGUGCUAAAAUUCGACUCCGAAGAAGAUGUAUCAAAGGCACUUGCUAAAUACACUGCUGAGCUAUCGGAAAAAUUCAUCAAACAAAAAGGUUCUUUCACUGUUGUGCUCUCUGGUGGUUCUCUUAUCGAUACCAUGAGGAAAUUGGUAGAGCCGCCGUACAAAGACUCAAUUGAUUGGUCGAAAUGGUGGAUUUUUUGGGUAGACGAAAGAGUGGUUCCUCUAGGUCACGAUGAUAGCAAUUAUAAACUUGCUUCGGAUGGGUUUCUUUCUAAGGUUCCGAUCCCCUCUUCUAACAUUUAUGCGAUUAAUGACAAGGAGUCACCUGAGGGUGCAGCUGCUGAUUACGAAGCUCGUCUGAAACAAUUGAUUGAGAGCAAAGUUCUUCCGUUAUCAGCAAUUACUGGAUUCCCCAAAUUUGAUCUUAUGCUAUUAGGUAUGGGGCCAGAUGGACAUGUAGCGUCUUUGUUUCCUUUGCAUCCUCACCGCCACGAGAAGGAGCGGCUGGUCACCUUCAUUACAGACUCACCAAAACCUCCUCCACCAAGGAUUACUUUCACCUUUCCGGUAAUUAAUUCGGCUUCAGAGAUAGCAAUGGUGGUCACAGGAGCAGAGUUAGCUCAUAUGGUUGAUGUCGCUUUGGGUAAUGCGCCUCCUCCUGAUGGAAUUCCUCCCCCUUGUACUGAGGUUUCAGCUGAAGAGGAACUGACCUGGUUUUUAGACAAGGAUGCUGCAUCAGAACUACAGACCUCUAGAUGAUUAUGUUAUCCUUGUGAUAUACUUAAUAAGUGUAAUCCAAAUAGGACAUGAGCAUAAAGUUUGGUGCCCCUUGAAUGUGUUGCCUUGUAAUGGUUAACCAUUCUUGCUUGGUAGUUGAUACUUAUUCUACCUUUAACUUUAUCCUCUAGAAGGUAAAAGUUAGGUACGAUAUGAAGAAUGCAUAUUCUAUAAGGUUUGGUAACGUCGCUUUGCGAACUGAGAUCCAUGAUCAGAAUAUAAUACAUUGGUAUUCAGUAUUGUAUCAGGGAGGUCUUUGUUUCUCUUAAAAGUAUAGCCAUCAAAGUAUUGGCGAGACGUGAUUAAACA
rnacentral:misc_RNA from 1 species